UGGGGAAUAUUGCACAAUGGGCGCAAGCCUGAUGCAGCCAUGCCGCGUGUAUGAAGAAGGCCUUCGGGUUGUAAAGUACUUUCAGUCGGGAGGAAGGUGGUAAGGUUAAUAACCUUAUCAAUUGACGUUACCGACAGAAGAAGCACCGGCUAACUCCGUGCCAGCAGCCGCGGUAAUACGGAGGGUGCAAGCGUUAAUCGGAAUUACUGGGCGUAAAGCGCACGCAGGCGGUUGAUUGAGUCAGAUGUGAAAUCCCCGGGCUUAACCCGGGAAUUGCAUCUGAUACUGGUCAGCUAGAGUCUUGUUGAGUGGGGUAGAAUUCCAUGUGUAGCGGUGCGAUGCGUAGAGAUGUGGCGGAAUACCGGUAGCGAAGGCGGCCCCCUGGACAAAGACUGACGCUCAGGUGCGAAAGCGUGGGGAGCAAACAGG
rnacentral:rRNA from 1 species